AGGUGUGAUCAUACCAUCCUUAAUGCACCACAUCCCAUCGAAUCUCCGCAGUUAAGUGGAAUUGGGCUAGAGUGGUAAUGGGAUGGGUGACCUCCCAGGAAGUCCUAGUGUUGCACCCU
rnacentral:rRNA from 1 species